rnacentral:sRNA from 1 species
UUCACAGCGUAGCACAGAAAUCAGCUCCUUAUCCACAAAAUAGAUGUAACAAAAGUAACAGCAAAGCUGUCUUCCCACACUGCCGUGCCAAUGUGUCUCAAUCUUAUUUUUCAGAGAGACCAACUUUAGGUGCAAGAAAGUAGUUCAGUCUCACUGCUAGUGAAAUACUUAGCUUCU